GGAUGUGCAGGCGAUCUGACUACGACAUCUGUCACCCCAUUGAUCGCCAGAGUUGAUUGGGCUGAUCUGACUGGCUAGGUGGGUGUCCCCUUUCUUCCCUCACUGCUUGCUCCGUGUGCAUCUUUCCAGAAGUUGCUCCCAAGGAAGCUGCUCCCUUGGUUGAUCAAAGAGGAUGGCCUUCCCCGAAUAGAGAAGGACUGGUCUUGGGUCAAUGUUAUAUGAGUAGCUGCGCUCCCUUGCUAGAACCUUCAAACAAGCUCUCAAGAAACACCUAUUUACGGCAUUCUCCUUCAACGAGGGAGGCCAAUUCCAGGAGUUGAUCUCAACAAGAUAAUUU
ensembl:misc_RNA 7SK 7SK RNA